rnacentral:lncRNA from 1 species
AUUUCAUAGAUUCGAUGAUUUAUUAUCAACUUAUCAUCUACACGUUGUGUAAGUCUUAAUUCAUAAGCACUUAAAAGUAGUACCAAAUAAUUUGAAAUAAUUUACUGUUGAAUGCAAUUAAACUUGCUCGAAACUAUACAAACCAUAGUAAGUGAUUUUUCACCAAAUUUAUAUUCAACGAACAAAGUAAAUGUUGAAUAAGUCUCCCACGUAACAUUAUUUCUUCAAAUUUUUUUCUCGUCGAAGGCUUGACUUUGAAUUGUGUUCUACUUUUACACCAGGUCUCGAUCACAAUCAAGCUUAAAUAGAACCGACAAAUUUUAUGAUGAACAUUUAAUCCUGAACCACUGGCAACGAAACAAGUUGACGAAUUUUAAACAGCAAUUCAAAUGUGACUUCAUCAUUGUAUGUGUACCUGUUUGGUUCUCUGUGUAAAAUUUCUAUUGAUGCUUGAUUGACGCAGUUUCAAAGACACUUGGCUGUUGAAGAUGUAUUGACCACCAAGGUACCCGGCUCAAUUUAUUCACCAACUACACCACAAUCAAACAACCAAUCGACCCAAGACAAUACCAAGUCUCUCACUUUCGGUUGCCAAAGAGAUUACACACUUGGGAGACCACAAAGGCAAGUCAUAACUCAAUGACAAUCACCACAAAGGUAGAAGUAAAAUUGAGCAGGUGAUGGGUAGAAAGUAGAAGAAGCAGGAGACCAAAGUCUCACACAAAGAAGAAGAGAGGCGUGCAAUCAUAUGGCAAAGGUAUACCCAGGCUCAGUUUAUUCACCAACUACACCACAAUCAAACAAUCAAUCGACCCAAGACAAUACCAAGCCUCCCACUUUCGGUUGUCAAAGAGAUUAUACACUUAGGAGACCACAAAGGCAAGUAAUAACUCAAUGACAAUCACCACAAAUGUAGAAGUAAAGCCAGCAAGUAGAAGAAGCAGAAGGUCGAAGUCUCACACAGAGAAGAAGAGAGGCGAGCAGUCAUAUGGCAAAGGAUAGGAGACCCAAUUAUAUUCAACCAAGAGCCCAAGUUGGG